CGCGGACGCCUCUUGCCCCGACCACGCAUCCCACCACUCUGGAACCGCCCCCACUCACGCACAGGCGUGCCUCAUCUAGAGGAUGCCGCGGGAGGCGGCCGUGCCGACGAGGAGCGUCGGAUGCAAGCGGACCUCCAUGCCGGGGAUGGCGACUCCCCUUAUGGUUUCCAUGUGCGCCGGCGGCAGGCACACCAUGGUGCCGAUCUGGCCACCCCCUGCAUUGCUUCUGCCGGACCUGGCCUCUAUCAACCCCUCAUGCAUCCGCGUACUCUCGUUGAUCCAAUUGCACGUUCCUUCAGCUUGAGCCGUCACCAAGGAGGAUGCCAUCACUUGCUAGAUUUCAUCAUCGCACGCUUAAGGACGUCUUUCGCCUGGAUGCAUGGCACAUCCAUACUGUCGUCAUUCCCUUUGAGGAUUUCUGCGUGCAUUUCCAUGUUCACCAAGGAGAUUCCAUCGCUGGUUAUUCCAGCAAGAUUUGCGAACUAUGUGCCCAGACAACAACCUGUUGUGCGGUCAUCACUACGAAUAAAUUCAAGGCUCUGAAGGUGAAUUUUCUUGGAUCAGAUCUUUACACUUCAGCAUCCAGAGUUUGGUCGUGUGCUUGGAUUAUGCAACAAAUGGGCUCUUCCAUUUGGAACUUGCAAUCGAAGGUUAAAAAACAAUAGGGCGUUUUAACUGCUACUGCUGCCGCAUAAUUGGCAACUUUGGUUAAACUAAUAUGUAUCAUUAGAUACAAAAUAACUUACUUGUUUUGCCCUGAAAUAAUACCAUAUGAAGAACUUUGUAACAUGUAGUUGUUUUUUCUAUUUUGGCCUAUACUUCUCAUUGUGAUUUUAUAUUUCUAUUCAUACAAAUUUAAUCAUAGGAUAGAUUAAUAGGACAUGUUGUGACCAUUGUACCGGUGGUUAGAAGAAAAGCUAAUUCAUAAAUAGUAUUGACAAAUUGACUCUUCUUAUUUUUGUGAGUCUGGUUCAGAUUGGUUCCAUCUGCAAGUUCUUCACAAUUUGACUCUUUGAUUUUGAUCGUUCAUCACCUCUUCCAUUCUAGAUAAAAGAACCUCCGCUGCUCGUGGCUCCAUCGCUCUCCGUCGGCAAGAACACGCAAAAUCACUGCACUUGCAAAAGUCACUAGCCUGCACUCUAAUGGUGCACAAAAGGGCUGUGAGAUCGUUCGCCAGAUUCUAAUGUUAGUCCUUUCUCUGCAGCUAUAUUUUUUAGGUAUGUCGUUCAUCUCUCCAAUAAUGGUUAGAUCGAGAUAACGGUUACUGUGAACCAGGAAGGUCCACAUGCUUUGAUGCAAACCACCCUAUCUACCGUGGGAUAAUUCAGAGUCGCUAACAGCGUAACAAAUACAAAAAGACAGAUCAAAGUGAUUACCCUAUAGAUAGGAACAACAUAUUACGGAUUUGGUAUGCCACAGUUGCAAGUAGAAACUAACCAAAUAGUACUAAUGAGAGUUUUUUCUUGAUUACAAACAAAUGUGGCCACAUUACUGAUAACCAUUCUAAAUUUAGGCAACAUAAUUACUACUUUUAGGUGGAAGUCAGAGUAUAGUUUGUAAAAAGCUACAUGCAUGGUUAACGUUGUACCAUGUGAGGUUGUCUCAUUAGGAAAUUCUAAAAGAAAUAAAAGAGAACACUUCAACUUCUAUAUGUGAGCUGCAUAUGAAACAUUCAGAUAGGUCCAUAACACCAUGCCUCUAUAAUAAGAGAAAGAAAUGUGAACAAAAAGCAGGUUGAUGAGUAUGAGCAGAAAAUGUUUUUUUUUCUAUUUUGCUGCUGUCAAAAGAUAUAACAUGCAUUACUUUUUACCCUCAUAAUGUAACUAAAAAUAGAUGUGCGAACUGAUUUGACAGAAUCUGUAGAUAUAAAAUCACAUGAAUCAGAAACAAAGGCCCAGUAUACAAUCUUGUAUAGGCUAGCCCAGACUCAAGGGCCAUGACCCUCUACUUCUUCCUCUGCAUACAGAAAAGGAAUACUGGUCGGUUCAGUCUCUCUCUUUGUACGACAUAGAUCAAAUACAUCCAUUCUUUCAUGUGCGUGGGUGUGCAUACAUCUUGCUAAUUCUUGAUAUGUCAGUGGCAUCCAAAUUUGACGAACAGACAGUGUUGCGCCAGACAGUUGCACAUGCCAACGUGAAUCUGCCCUCUAAUCACUUGUAGAAACAUUCUAAACUCUGUCUAGCCAGGAGCCCAGGACAACAAACAAAGAACUAAGGGAAGAAGUUCCAGAGAGAGGAGCAGGAAGGAGAAGACACAGUCGCUGUGAGGAGGGCAGUUUCCAUCCACCGCUGGGGUGGGAUUGAUGGUGGGCAUCAGAUCCAGCCUGAUGGUGGGCACCUACCUCCUCUCGAUCCUUCAUUACAUCAGUCCUUACCCUUCCUUGCUCGAUCCGCCCCACCCAAAAGUAUGAAUAGCUGGCAUGAUCUCCAUUCCCCGCCAUGGAUUAUAAAUGACCUGCAGCCAAACCAAGAUAUAAAGGAGGGCGUCACCAUCCGCAGAAACAUUAGAGAAACAAAAAGAGACCAUACACUUUGAUUUUAGGGAGGAGGAGGGGCAAUCCGAAGAGUAGCGCUAUGAUGGGGCUUUUGCUUUUCAGGCAAACAUUUAUAGAUCGAAGGGGAGAGGUGGAGUAGUGCCUGUUCGGCUGUGGUAACUGAAUGAUGGAAGGAGCCUGUAGGGGAAGGGGAUGGGACGGGCGGGAAGGAGAAGAGGUUGGGAUUUUCUUUUUUGUUUGCGAAUUGACACCAUUGGCCUUCGGUGUUAAUUUAAGUAGGGAAACUGAGCAACGACAUGCAUGUCUACAUGCCAAUAAAAAUUAGUUAAAUUCUUUUCUAUGCCAUGACCGUAGGGUGAAAAAGAGUGAUUGGCUGAUUUUGCAAACUGAUUGAUGAUGUGGCAUAGAGAUGAUGUGGAUAGUGUGCAUGUUGAGAGAAUAGGUAGAAGUGGGGAGCAACUCCUUGAGAAUGUUAGAUUCGGACAUGUCAUGCAGAAAUUCUAAAAAAUUAUCAAUAAUAUCUGGUACAUAGGGGAUGUAAGAAAUUAGGAUCAAACUCAAUCUAAUCUGAAAGCAGUAACAUGAAUGGUAUGAAAUAGUAAUAUUCCCUAUUUGUAAUGGAUCUGUCUUCUCCACGGACAGUUACGAACAUCUCGUAGUAUUUAUUCAUCGCCCUCGUGGCCUGCACCAUCUUGCGGCACCAUGCCUCUUCUGCUCGCUCACAGGCGCUCCUGGACCAGUUCGCCACGAAUCUCCAAAGGACAUGGAUUAGGCACUCAAAGCGUCACAACAACCAAAUUGAUGGUAAUUUCUUUUUUGCAGGGAAAUUGAUGGUAAUUAACUGAUUUAUCUUUCCUUGAAUCAUCCGGCAAAGCGUCCUCUGAUGAUGAUAGCAAAAAAGAAGCUUUUGUGUGAUAUUAUCUUCCUAGCAGUAAUAAUCAGUCAUGAUCAGACAUAAUAAGAUAAAUGUAUAACCCAGCUUUUGAUUUUCUUCGUGCAUGCACAUAAUAUUUGAAGCAGUAAUCGCCAGUUGGGAUGAUUGAUCAAUUUUUGAAUCAAACACAUAUUUCUAGACAAAUAUCCAGGGCAUUGUUGUGGCUUGCAUUCAUGUGCUGCUGUUCCCAGCAUGUUUUGGUGACAAGAAGAGGAGUAACCAUGAGUCAUGAUCAUCAACUCAUCAUCUUUGUAGUAGUAGUCACUCUUAACCUUGUUUUUUGUUUUGUUUGGUGAUUACAGUAUAAAUUCUCGCAACAGUGCAAACGUGGAGAUCUUAGCCGUUUAAUCGUAAUUGUGUUUGUGAUACUAUGUAUUUCAGGACUACUACUUGAACACGCCCUUCAGUUCCAACAUUAAUCUUUCUAUCCAUGGCAUGCGGAAUAGCUUAUGAGUUUUCUCUGCAGGUAACCAAACUGAAACAUGCUUCUCUCUGAAACUGUCCAAAGGCAACAACAUUCUUCUUUAUCUUUCACUGAUCAAGUAGCAUGAAAGGCAUUCUUACUCUUCACUUCGAUUUGCUAUUUUUUGGAACCAGGUGAAUUAUCCUCCACAUAGGAUAUUAAGGUAGCACUAGAACUGCACUUUUGUUUUCACUCUUACUCGCACUAUCCUAUAUGCAUGGAAACUAAUUUACCGUUUUGAUUAUUUGGUGUAUACUAAGUAAAAUAGGAAGCAGAUCGGCCACAAAUCCUAUCUUAUAUAUAGGAUUUUGCACCAUGGGGUUUAGCUUCCAUCGUCUAUUGCUCUAUAUUUUCCCAAGGCGUAUAUACCUUCUAUGCUGUGUGUUUGGGUCAUGGGAACACAUUAUAUAGGAUGAGAAAAUCUAUUUUUAGUUGGUUCCAUGUUUAGUUAUGAUCAUUAUAUUCUCAACUGUUUUCUUUUGCACAAAGUACAAACUCGAAUUACCUAUCUCAUGGUGUCCUACUUUAUUUUAUAGUAAAAAGUAAAACAUCCCAGUUGAAAAUGGUAUGACGUUGUUGUGGUACCAAGUUGGCCAACCUGUAUGAUGACAAUAGUUAUCAUGGUAAUUGAAUUACAUACAAAUACUAUUUUCUUCCUCUAAUUAUUUCAUUUCACAUGGUGUACAUAUUUUCUAUUUCUCACCCACUGAUAGCACAUUAACUGCAGUUUUGCCAGAAGCAUAGUUAUUGUUCAGAAACAAAUUAUUGUAAGGUUUCACGAGCCUCAUAGUUGUAGAAUUGGAAAGAAAGAUGUACUCCCUCCGUUUCUAAAUAUGAGACCUCCUAGAAAUUUCAAUACGGACUACAUAUGGAUGUAUAUAGACGCAUUUUAGAGUGCAGUUCAGUCAUUUUGCUCCGUAUGUAGUCUGUAUUGAAAUCUCUAAAACGCCUUAUAUUUAGGAACGGAGGGAAUAAUUAGCUGAUAACUUGUGACAAGUGUUCUUUUCAUAGAUCAGAUACAUUAGCCAUGGCUUUGCUAUCAAGACAAGUAUGCAAAAGUUCCCUAAGCACACUACUGAUAAUAUCAGUGUGUGAAUAUUAACUUGCACUACAUAUGUUUUUUUUGACAGGUUAGCAGAGCUCCAAAAUAAUGACCUCAUGCCAAUGGAUGGCUAUGUCUAUAUACCAUCUUUAGUAGUGCAAGAGAGUGGGUUUUCUCUUUCGCAAUACUUCUACUUGUUAUUUAGAUUCUUUAUGAUUUCAGGUUUAUAUUAUUGUCCAUUGUAGAUGUUACAAGUUAAUAUGCAAAGCAGAUUGAUUUGUUCAGAUAGUUUGUGGUUCCUUUGUUUAUUCAGACUUUGUUCAUGAAUCA